rnacentral:rRNA from 1 species
GUCUGGGAAACUGCCUGAUGGAGGGGGAUAACUACUGGAAACGGUAGCUAAUACCGCAUAACGUCGCAAGACCAAAGUGGGGGACCUUCGGGCCUCAUGCCAUCAGAUGUGCCCAGAUGGGAUUAGCUAGUAGGUGGGGUAACGGCUCACCUAGGCGACGAUCCCUAGCUGGUCUGAGAGGAUGACCAGCCACACUGGAACUGAGACACGGUCCAGACUCCUACGGGAGGCAGCAGUGGGGAAUAUUGCACAAUGGGCGCAAGCCUGAUGCAGCCAUGCCGCGUGUGUGAAGAAGGCCUUCGGGUUGUAAAGCACUUUCAGCGGGGAGGAAGGCGAUAAGGUUAAUAACCUUGUCGAUUGACGUUACCCGCAGAAGAAGCACCGGCUAACUCCGUGCCAGCAGCCGCGGUAAUACGGAGGGUGCAAGCGUUAAUCGGAAUUACUGGGCGUAAAGCGCACGCAGGCGGUCUGUCAAGUCGGAUGUGAAAUCCCCGGGCUCAACCUGGGAACUGCAUUCGAAACUGGCAGGCUAGAGUCUUGUAGAGGGGGGUAGAAUUCCCAGGUGUAGCGGUGAAAAUGCGUAGAGAUCUGGAGGAAUACCGGUGGCGAAGGCGGCCCCCUGGACAAAGACUGACGCUCAGGUGCGAAAGCGUGGGGAGCAAAACAGGAUUAGAUACCCUGGUAGUCCACGCCGUAAACGAUGUCGAUUUGGAGGUUGUGCCCUUGAGGCGUGGCUUCCGGAGCUAACGCGUUAAAUCGACCGCCUGGGGAGUACGGCCGCAAGGUUAAAACUCAAAUGAAUUGACGGGGGCCCGCACAAGCGGUGGAGCAUGUGGUUUAAUUCGAUGCAACGCGAAGAACCUUACCUGGUCUUGACAUCCACAGAACUUGCCAGAGAUGGCUUGGUGCCUUCGGGAACUGUGAGACAGGUGCUGCAUGGCUGUCGUCAGCUCGUGUUGUGAAAUGUUGGGUUAAGUCCCGCAACGAGCGCAACCCUUAUCCUUUGUUGCCAGCGGUUAGGCCGGGAACUCAAAGGAGACUGCCAGUGAUAAACUGGAGGAAGGUGGGGAUGACGUCAAGUCAUCAUGGCCCUUACGACCAGGGCUACACACGUGCUACAAUGGCAUAUACAAAGAGAAGCGACCUCGCGAGAGCAAGCGGACCUCAUAAAGUAUGUCGUAGUCCGGAUUGGAGUCUGCAACUCGACUCCAUGAAGUCGGAAUCGCUAGUAAUCGUAGAUCAGAAUGCUACGGUGAA